rnacentral:rRNA from 1 species
GUGGUGUCACAAAAUCGGAGGCCACGACUGUUUACUAAAAACACAAUUCAGAGCAAUGAUGAAAAUCAUAGUAUUCUGGAUGAAAUUUGCCCGAUGCCAUUAACAUAAAAGAGGUAAUGGGUAACUGUUACUAAUUGAAAGUCUGGUUAAUAGCGGUCUUAACUAUGAGGAUCCUAAGGUAGCAAAAUCAGUUGGCCAUUAAAUGUGGUCUGGUAUCAAUAGUGUAACGAUGGUCUCACUGUCUCUACAACUUGCUCAGUGAAAUUGAAUUAUCCGUGCAGA